GACACUCGAUUAUACAGGAGAAACACAAGCAGCAGUAGCACCAGCGCGACGCCCACCGGAGACCCACCGACGCGGUGGAUGGAAUCUGGCGAGCCGGCGGAGAAGAGGCCGGAGAAGGCAGAGCCGCGGUCGGAGGAGAGGAAGCGGAUGAGGAGGAUGAGUCCCACAGGGAGGAGGAGAAGACCAGCUGGGCUGAGGAGAUCCGCGAAGGCCGUGGUGAGGGCCUCGCCGCCGUCGCCGAUAAGGUAGGGGACGGC
rnacentral:misc_RNA from 1 species